UGGAGUUGGGUUCUCUCAUGUUUUGCUUCUGUCUCACCUGCUGAGGUGGAGCCUCAGAUAAAAGGAUUCAGGGGUACAGCAUUCCAUGCAUUGACCUCUUGAGGUGUUCACAAACUCUGAGCUCCUUGACUUCGCUCCAGAACAUCUGACCAGCUGUGGAGAUGUCCUGCCAGCAGAACCAGCAGCAGUGCCAACCACCUCCCAAAUGCACCCCCAAGUGCCCCACCCCAAAAUGCCCCCCAAAGUGUCCGCCUAAGUGCCCCCCAGUCUCUUCCUGCUGCAGUGUCAGCUCUGGGGGCUGCUGUGGCUCCAGCUCUGGGGGCUGCUGCAGCUCUGGGGGUGGUGGCUGCUGUCUGAGCCACCACAGGCGCCAGAGGUCCCACCACCACAGACACCAGAGCUCUGGCUGUUGCAGCCAGCCCUCGAGGGGCUCCAGCUGCUGUGGAGGGGGGAGUAGCCAGCAAUCUGGGGCUGUUGCUGAAGGGGAUCCUUAAUCUUGAAGAGCAAUGUUCAGGGGCAGUACAGAAGGUAUCAUUCCUGUAGAUCUGCCUCAAAGACUGAGAAGUCCCAAAGAAGACUCAUUUUGAGAUGUUUUAAGCCCUCCAUGGUCUAAAAACUCAGGUCUUGCCUGAAUCCUUUCAACUGGCUUUGGAUUCCAACUUGUAUGUACCCUCCACGUUUCCUUGGCAAAUAUUCCAACUUGAUACUUGUUUUACUUCUUAUAUUGUGCUGCACCUGACUGAUUAAAAUAAUAAACAAGGAAUACGCUUAACAUUU